AAUAUAAAUUUGUUGUUGCAAUGCAGCUCUGGAGUUAACGAUUUCAAUGUCCUUAAUUUUUAUGAAUCAAAUUUUAGAAUGCUAAUGAAUUCUUCAGCCUUAUCUGCAUCUUGGCUUCACUGUUACAGCGUCCCUCGGCUUUUGAAAUAUACCUAUCAAAAUUCAUUAAUUAAUGUUUCUUCAGUUUUUGGUGAUAUGGGAUUAGAUAACUUUAUUUUGAUAAUAUGUGUGUAACAGUUGUUUUAGUGUUAGAGAUUGCAACUGUUUAACUAGGAAGUUUCUGCUCUACUUUAAGGGAUUCAGGCUUUACCAUGCAUUUGACAACGAGAUGAUCCAUGCAUUUUCGGUUAGUUCUAUGUAUAUUGUUUCUUGCAUAUUAUGUAUUUGUAUUUCAUGAUGUUGAAACCAUAGCAUUCUUCUGUAGCAUGAUGUGAGCCUCUUAUUGCAUAGUAAACGUUUCAACCUUAUUGCAGAACCUGACUUUAUCUUUCUCUUCCUAUGAUGUCAAUUUGGAUUUUUGGCAACAUCAGCUUCUCAGAAUGCAGUUUUGAAGCUAUUAUGGAGUUGCAUACACUCUUGCAGGUGAAUGCUUAUUAGGCCAAAAAUUAAAACUCGAUGACAGAGGGAUGCCAAUCUAAUCUUCUAAAGGCAUUAUUUCGGUUAAUGCAGGUG